rnacentral:tRNA from 3 species
CGGAGCGUGGCGCAGCCUGGUAGCGCGCUUGCAUGGGGCGCAAGAGGUUUCGCGGGUUCGAAUCCCGCCGCUCCGA